UACGUAGGGUGCAAGCGUUGUCCGGAAUUAUUGGGCGUAAAGAGCGUGUAGGCGGCCAGACAGGUCAGCUGUGAAAACUCGAGGCUCAACCUCGAGACGUCGGUUGAAACCGUCUGGCUAGAGUCCGGAAGAGGAGAGUGGAAUUCCCGGUGUAGCGGUGAAAUGCGCAGAUAUCGGGAAGAACACCCGUGGCGAAGGCGGCUCUCUGGGACGGUACUGACGCUGAGACGCGAAAGCGUGGGGAGCGAACAGG
rnacentral:rRNA from 1 species